GAGACAGGGACGAGUUAGGGCAUGGGAGUUGCAUAUGCAGAAACGUCUGCUUCUGCCAUUCUUAUGCACUGCCUCUUCCCUGGCUC
rnacentral:pre_miRNA from 1 species